CACACACACACACACACCACCAGUCUUGCGCUACGCUGACACGCAUCAGUACCACAAUCACUGGCGACGGGGUUUUGGGUCUAUCUCGCUGCCCAACAAACGUGAAAGUUGUUCUUGUAAUACGACAAAGACAUCCCUUGAAGUCAGCAGUGAGACAUGUACUACCCGACGGAGGGACGGUAUCCUGAAGAACCAAGUCCAUACCCAGAGGACGUUCCGGACUCCUGGCCACACCAUCCAACACUGCAAGACCAAUACAGACUAUGGUGGAGCAGAGAGUGCAGGCAGCAGGUACACCAGCAGCAGUGUGUGGACGCAGGCAACACCAG